rnacentral:rRNA from 1 species
GCCAGCGUAAGCUGCGAGGAAGCGGGGAUGACGUCAAAUCAGCACGGCCCUUACGUCCAGGGCUACACACGUGUUACAAUGGCCGGUACAGAGGGCAGCCACCCCGCGAGGGGGCGCGAAUCCCGAAAGCCGGUCGCAGUUCGGAUCGGAGUCUGGAACCCGACUCCGUGAAGCUGGAUUCGCUAGUAAUCGCGCAUCAGCCAUGGCGCGGUGAAUACGUUCCCGGGCCUU